UACUGCUGUCUUUUUGGGAGUGGGACAGAAAUGAUAUUUUCGCAAAAUUUAUUUCGUCGUCCCACCCCAACUUGCACACUAUUGUAAGCUGACUUUUCGCCAGCUUCUGUGUUGGGGCCCCGCCAACUUGCAUUGUCUGUAGAAAUUGAGGAGCUAAUUUCUCUGUGUCGGGGCUCCACCCCAACUUGCACACUAUUGUAAGCUGACUUUCCGCCAGCCUCUGUGUUGGGGCCCCGCCAACUUGCACACUAUUGUAAGCUGACUUUCCACCAGCCUCU
rnacentral:ncRNA from 1 species